CUGCAAAAAAUACUUGUUAGUAAGUGAAAGGGGGCAAAUAAUAUUCUUCCAUAUUGUAGAGAAGUUUCUAUUUACACUCGCAUUUGACAUAAGACGACUUGGUUUGCUCUUGGUUUUUUCGACAAUUACUUCUCUCCACAUGCUCUCUCUUUCCUGCCCAUAACGCCAGAUCCACUUAUUUAACAGGGCCUGUUCUUUGUUUCCAAAUCAGUAAUUCCCAUACCCUACAUUCUCGGUAGUUACACACCUCCUCCCAUUUGAAUAAUGAAUAUUUCGUUUUCCAUCAGAGUCACCCCACAGAAAGUUUCGCUGGAGCUUCUCCAAUCUGUUUCUAAGUGCCAACGGGAUUUUAAAUAAAGACAUAUAGAAGGUAGGCAGGCUCACCAACACCGAUCUAAGCAAGGAAAUUCUGCCCCCAAAUGAAAGAAUCUUCCUGAGAUAUCAGCUCCUAUCAUUAAUAUUUUUUCCCCUUUCUCUCCAGAAGAAAAGAGAAGAGAAGAAAAGAAACGAAGCCCUCGACCUGAGAAAGAAAUGGCGAAAUAGUCGAAGCGUCAGGCGUCGUCCGAUGACGCGCUAUCCAACGGCUCCAAUUUAUCAGAAGAGGAACGAAUCGACGACCAGAUCAACGGCGCGGAAGAGCUCAAAGCCGUUGGUCUCUUUGCCGCCGCCCCUGAUGAAAACGCCAAUGAUGUUGAUGAGGGUGAGUCUAACGGGGCUGACCCAGAGAUUAGUAAUCGA